rnacentral:rRNA from 1 species
UACGUAGGGACCAAGCGUUGUUCGGAUUUACUGGGCGUAAAGGGCGCGUAGGCGGCAAUUCAAGUCAUCUGUGAAAUCUCCGAGCUUAACUCGGAACGGUCAGAUGAUACUGCUUUGCUAGAGUGCAGAAGGGGCAACCGGAAUUCUUGGUGGUAGCGGUGAAAUGCGUAGAUAUCAAGAGGAACACCGGAGGUGAAGACGGGGUUGCUGGGCUGACACUGACGUGAGGCGCGAAAGCUAGGGUAGCAAACGGG